AUGACUCGUCCAGUUUGCCUUUUGGCUUAGAUCAAGUGUAGUAUCUGUUCUUUUCAGUUUAAUCUCUGGUGAGUUCUUUUACUUAUCUUCCAACAUUCGCCUCUUACUAAUCGUCCCAGAAACUCUCCUAAGGGAGAAUUCAUCGAUUAUACUUAUUUUUGCACCGAGUGGAUGGCUCCCUGGGCUUGCUCACAGUCAUCCUCACAGUGUCGUCCGUAUCGCACUAUCUCGGACUGACGCGAAUCUUU
rnacentral:snRNA from 1 species